UACAACGGAGAGUUUGAUCCUGGCUCAGGAUGAACGCUAGCGGCAGGCCUAACACAUGCAAGUCGAACGGUAACAUAGAUUGCUUGCAAUCUGAUGACGAGUGGCGCACGGGUGCGUAACGCGUAUGCAACCUACCUUUAACUGGAGGAUAGCCCGAAGAAAUUCGGAUUAAUACUCCAUAAUAUAAGUCUUUCGCAUGUUAGACUUAUUAAAGCUUCGGCGGUUAAAGAUGGGCAUGCGUGACAUUAGUUAGUUGGUGAGGUAACGGCUCACCAAGACAGCGAUGUCUAGGGGGUCUGAGAGGAUUUUCCCCCACACUGGUACUGAGACACGGACCAGACUCCUACGGGAGGCAGCAGUGAGGAAUAUUGGUCAAUGGACGAAAGUCUGAACCAGCCAUGCCGCGUGCAGGAAGAAUGCCCUACGGGUUGUAAACUGCUUUUAUAUAGGAAUAAACCCCCGAACGUGUUCGGGGCUGAAGGUACUAUAUGAAUAAGGACCGGCUAACUCCGUGCCAGCAGCCGCGGUAAUACGGAGGGUCCAAGCGUUAUCCGGAUUUAUUGGGUUUAAAGGGUGCGCAGGCGGACCAAUUAGUCAGUGGUGAAAUCCCGAGGCUCAACCUCGGAACUGCCAUUGAUACUGUUGGUCUUGAAUACGGUUGAAGUAGGCGGAAUGUAGCAUG
rnacentral:rRNA from 1 species